rnacentral:rRNA from 1 species
UACAGAGGGGGCAAGCGUUGUCCGGAAUUAUUGGGCGUAAAGAGCUCGUAGGCGGUUUGUCACGUCUGCUGUGAAAAUCCAGGGCUUAACCCUGGACCUGCAGUGGGUACGGGCAGACUAGAGUGCGGUAGGGGAGAUCGGAAUUCCUGGUGUAGCGGUGAAAUGCGCAGAUAUCAGGAGGAACACCGGUGGCGAAGGCGGAUCUCUGGGCCGUAACUGACGCUGAGGAGCGAAAGCAUGGGGAGCGAACAGG